AUCUGAGAAGCGUGAGUUUGUCAUUAAUUGUUUAUCAAGACAUAGGAUAGGUUGUGUGAAAAUAUUACUGAUGUUUAACGUUAAAAAUGGACCAAAAGAUUAAUGCUAAACAACGUUUGACAUGUUUGAACGAACCUAAAUAGAUUAUUUACUAGGUUUUUUUAGCUUUUCGGCGUGAUUUUACCAGCCCCCCACCACGUUUUGUGGGAGCAUAAUGAACGCUAAGUACUUGGUGUUAUUUGGACAUAAAUUAUGAACUUUGUCAAAAGAAACCACAUUUGUUCCGGACCUGGAAUGCCUUCCGGACCUGGGAUCCUGCCUUCUGAUGGAGAUAAUCAAAGUUAUAGGCUACAACUCCCUUAUGGACUCAGGAGAGGCAAAGGUCGAGAGCCAUGCAUCCUCCGAAACACGACCCCGCCAAGCCACACUGCUUUUUGACACCCGCCCGCUUAAGCCAGCCCACCAAUGUGUUGGAGGAAAUACUGUUCAACUGACAACUGAAGACUGCAGGCGCCCGG
rnacentral:lncRNA from 1 species